rnacentral:tRNA from 1 species
GCGAGGUUAGCUCAGGGGUAGAGCACUGCAUUCACACUGCAGGGGUCGCAAGUUCGAAACUUGCACUUCGCACCA